CUACGGGUGGCUCCAGUAAGGAAUAUUGGGCAAUGGACGCAAGUCUGACCCAGCCAUGCCGCGUGCAGGAUGACAGCCCUACGGGUUGUAAACUGCUUUUAUACGGGAAAAAACCCCUGCACGAGUUGCGGGGUUGAUGGUACCGUAAGAAUAAGCAUCGGCUAACUCCGUGCCAGCAGCCGCGGUAAUACGGAGGAUGCAAGCGUUAUCCGGAUUCAUUGGGUUUAAAGGGUGCGUAGGCGGAAUGAUAAGUCAGUGGUGAAAUCCUACAGCUUAACUGUAGAACUGCCAUUGAUACUGUUGUUCUUGAGUACAUUUGAAGUGGGCGGAAUGUGUCAUGUAGCGGUGAAAUGCAUAGAGAUGACACAGAACACCGAUCGCGAAGGCAGCUCACUAAACUGUAACUGACGCUGAGGCACGAAAGCGUGGGGAUCAAACAGGAUUAGAUACCCGAGUAGUC
rnacentral:rRNA from 1 species